CAAUUGUCCCUUUCGGUGUCCGCUUUACUAUUUAAAAAAUUUAUGAAUUUUUAUUCAUAGUAAUGCAUGAAUAGAUAUAUAUUAUGCUUUGAUGACCCUUAGUCCCUAAAUUCAAAUAAUUGCUACUCAAGUCCCUGAAUGUGAAAUCUUAUAGUAAUUCAUAUCGGUUGUUAAGUCCCUGAAUGUGAAAUCUUGUUGUUGCC
rnacentral:lncRNA from 1 species